rnacentral:rRNA from 1 species
UUUGAUCAUGGCUCAGAUUGAACGCUGGCGGCAGGCCUAACACAUGCAAGUCGAGCGGAAACGAGAAGUAGCUUGCUACUUCGGCGUCGAGCGGCGGACGGGUGAGUAAUGCCUGGGAAAUUGCCUUGAUGUGGGGGAUAACCAUUGGAAACGAUGGCUAAUACCGCAUAAUGCUUUUGUUUGUAAUGAACGGGAGCCAAAGAGGGGGACCUUCGGGCCUCUCGCGUCAAGAUAUGCCCAGGUGGGAUUAGCUAGUUGGUGAGGUAAUGGCUCACCAAGGCGACGAUCCCUAGCUGGUCUGAGAGGAUGAUCAGCCACACUGGAACUGAGACACGGUCCAGACUCCUACGGGAGGCAGCAGUGGGGAAUAUUGCACAAUGGGCGCAAGCCUGAUGCAGCCAUGCCGCGUGUAUGAAGAAGGCCUUCGGGUUGUAAAGUACUUUCAGCAGUGAGGAAGGUGGAUGUGUUAAUAGCGCAUUCAUUUGACGUUAGCUGCAGAAGAAGCACCGGCUAACUCCCGUG